CGGCGGGGCUUGGGCUCUGUGAGGGGAGCGGCGGCGGAGCCGAUGCCGCGGGGCCGAGGGGCGGCCGCUGCUGCCGCGGGGGCUCCCCGGAGGCGCUGAGAACCUCGAGCCCCCUCGUUCGGCGCCGGACCUCGGGCCGGGAGCGGAGGGCUAUGCGGCAGCGCGGGGGGCUCGGCGGGGCCGCCGGGCGGCGGGGGGGCGGCGGCCCGCGGGCCCUGGGACCGCGACACCCGCUCGGGCCCGUCCUGCUGCUGCUGUGGCUGCUGGCGGGGAGCGCCGGGGCGGCUCCGCUGCCGCCGGCAGGUGCAGGAGAAGGAGCUGCAGCUGAAGUUCCCUCCACCUUUGUGAUCGUGUCUCUGUGUACCCUGGUCGUCCUGGUCAUCCUGCUGGCAAACUGUGUCUCCUGCUGCAAAGACCCUGAGAUAGAUUUCAAGGAAUUUGAAGAUAACUUUGAUGAUGAAAUAGAUUUUACACCUCCAGCAGAAGAUACUCCAUCUGUUCAGUCUCCAGCUGAAGUGUUUACUCUUUCAGUGCCCAAUAUUGCUUUGCCAACUCCCUCCCAGUUUCCGUCUCGUACAGAUGGAUCAAAGUCUCAAGUUGCACGUCAGAGUCUAAACUACAUCCAGGAAAUUGGAAAUGGCUGGUUUGGAAAGGUUCUCCUUGGAGAGAUCUACACAGGCUCCAGUGUAGCAAGGGUAAUAGUGAAGGAGUUGAAGGCAAGUGCAGGUCUCAAGGAGCAAGAACAGUUUUUAAGAAAUGGAGAACCAUAUUACAUUCUUCAGCAUCCAAAUGUUCUCCAGUGUAUUGGGCAAUGUGUGGAAGCCAUUCCUUAUCUCCUAGUUUUCGAGUUCUGUGAUUUGGGUGACCUGAAAACUUAUCUGUGCAAUGAGCAGGAGCACAUGAAAGGAGACUCCCAGGUAAUGCUGCUGCAGAGGAUGGCGUGUGAGAUCGCUGCUGGCCUGGCUGUGAUGCACAAACACAACUUUGUGCACAGUGACUUGGCCUUACGGAAUUGCUUCCUGACAUCCGAUUUAAAUGUCAAAGUAGGAGAUUAUGGGAUAGGAUUCAGUAGGUAUAAGGAAGAUUAUAUUGAGACAGAUGAGAAGAAACUUGUUCCUCUCCGAUGGACUGCACCUGAGUUAGUAACAAGUUUUCAAGACAGACUGUUAUCAGCAGAGCAAAAUAAAUACAGUAACAUAUGGUCCCUGGGGGUGACGCUGUGGGAGCUGUUCGAGAACGCUGCUCGGCCUUACUCGGACUUCUCCGACAGGGAAGUCCUGACCCAUGUCAUCAAGGAGAAGCAAGUCAAACCCUUCAAGCCACGUCUGGAGCAGCCCUACUCUGAUAGAUGGUAUGAAGUUCUGCAGUUCUGUUGGCUGCCUCCAGAGAAGAGACCGACGGCAGAAGAAGUGCACAGACUCUUGACUUACCUCCGCAUGCAGAGCCAAAGGGACUCGGAGAUCGAUUUUGAACAGCAGUGGAAUGCUCUGAAACCAAACACCUCUAACAGAGAAACAAGUAAUUCUGCAUUUCCAAUCUUGGAUCACUUCACAGGAGAUAGACUUGGCCAUGAGCUGGAGGAGGUUCUGACUGUAACUGAAACAAGCCAUGGGCUCAGCUUUGAGUAUAUCUGGGAGGCAGCUAAACACGAUCACUUUGAUGAAUGUGGUCCCGUGAAUCCUGAGGAAGCAAUGACCUACACAAGUAUUUUCUAUCCAGUGGAGGUGUUUGAGAGGUCACUGUCGGAGCAAGGAUCGGGAGCACAGGAUGGAAGUGGCCAAGAGGCAUCACUUGCUGUCCCUGGGGUGUUACCUGUGUUUGAUGCACACAAGCUUUCUGUGGGAAAUGACUACUAUAUCCAAUUAGAGGAAAAAGGAAGUGGCUGCAGCAUGAAUUUUGAUAACCAGUCAGUUGUGCUAACAACAGAAGUUGAUCAUCAAGAAGCUGUACAAGAAAAAAGUUCUCAUUUCACGGUUCUCAGGGAUCUUGAUGUUGAAGAAUCUAGUACUGAUGGGGACUUCUUCCACUACAAUACAGAUCCUAAAGAGGAAUUUUUGCCUGCUACUGGUAGCCCAGAAAGUCCUUUCCAGAGUAUAUUUAAUGCCAUUGACAGAUCAGAAGAACUGACAAACAGAAAAAUACUUGGGUUUGCUGAAACAAAUGAUAUUCCUAAAGACUUCAAACCGGCUGUUUUGAACUCAAACACAGAUGAUAGAAAGGCAAUAGGAUGCUCUGAGGAGGAGCAUUCUAGUCAUACUUCUGAAAAAGAAACAGUUUCCUUAUGUGAAAAUAUCUCUAACCAGUCUGAUGUGAUAUCUUUAGAAGAACUUUCUGAUAACUUCUUAUUUCUUCAAGAGAAGAACUUAUUAACAGGGUUAUUCUCUAAGAAAACCAGCAGUGAUCCGGGGCAAAAAUCAGAUGAUGUUCUAAAAAGUAUAUUAGAAACUUCAAAUAAAAACUCUGUAGAACCUGAGCCUGUGCUGGCUGAAAAUGCACAGGUCUUUUCUUUAAUACAUGAGAGUCUUAAAGCAGUGAAAGAUGAAAAUUUUAACCCAGUGACACUGAAUAAAGAUCUGAAUUCUCAGACUCCUGUAGAGGUGCAGGCAUCUUCUAGUCCACCUGCAGCACAUAAAUCGUGUGAUAAACAUGGAAAUCUUCCUAUUUUGAAGGAUGAGGGAAAACUUUCAAAUGUAGAAGUGAAUGAAGUUGUGUCCUGUAACACUGAUACUUUCUGUCAAGAAGAGCUAUCCUAUAAUGCCAAAAAUAAUAAUGUUGGAAAUGGUCCUUAUUAUGGUGUUGCUGUUGAAACAGAUGAGUGUGAUGCACAGAUUAAGCAGGCACUGCUUUUCAAGUCUGAUGAAAUAACUUUUAAUGGAGAAAAAUGUAGUGAUCAGGAAGAUAGGAAAAGAAACUUGCAAGAUAGUUCUCCCAUGUUAAAAAAAAAUGAAUGUUUAUUGGAGGAAAUACAAGAAACAUCAAAUCACUUUGAGAACUGUAAGGAUGUUCCAGAAGAGGUGACCUUAAUUUCUGUUGCUGCUUCAGACUGUACAAGUCAGGAUAGUCUUUUGGAAGACAGCCCUUCUCCUAUACAAACUGUAGAACAAGCCUUAGAGACACCUGAUUCUUUGGAUUCUUUAGAUGUAAAUGAGGUUUUAGAAUCUUUACAGACUCAAAGUCCUCAGAAACUUUUGCCACCUGAUAAACCUGCUGACAGUGGCUAUGAAACAGAAAACCUGGAAUCUCCAGAAUGGACUUCCCAUAUCCCUGUUGAGGAUGCUUCCAGUGUGGAUACAGCUCUGUGUGGCAUCAGCGAGAACAGUGUCAGUGCUUUACCCUCUAACCCAGUCAUCAUUGUUUCAGAAGCAGCAGCUUGUUUAGAUGCAGUGAACAGCAAUUUUGAAAUAACCCCAGUGGUUUUUCUGGGUGGAAAUCAAAAUUCCUAUAGAGACUCUGCCUAUUUCUCUGAUAAUGAUUCUGAGCCAGAUAAAAAACAAGAGGAGUCUGUAAAUCUGUCAAGAGAGCCUGUGUGUGUUGUUUCUUCCAGCAGAGGGGAGAAUCAUACAGAAGAGACUUAUGGGUUUGAGGAGAGCCAGCAAAUCUGUGAUGUGAGGAAUUACGAGGAGGAUGAUAAUCCAAACACAACACUAGAACUAAACCACGAUUUAGAGAUCCAGGAGAUGGAUGUAGGGAUGCAGGGGUGUCCUGAUGAGUGGGCUGAGGCAACUCUGACUUCCCUGGGAAUAGAGAUGGAAGGCAACCUAAGGGAUGAAAUAAAACUAUCAGAGACUUCCCAUAAGAGCGUCUCUUGUGUUGGCACUAACACUUCAGAACUUCUUUCACACAGAGACUUAAAGUCUGUGCACAACAUGCACAGUCCUUUAGAUCUGAGUAACAGUGAGAAGUCCUUCUAUCACAUGGAAGGACAAAAACUGAAAGAGCCAGAUAUUGAAGGGAAAUACCUUGGGAAACUCAGUGUUUCUGGAAUGCUUGAUUUAGAAGACGGUGAUGAUGCAGAUGAAGAAGAUGAAAACAGUGAUUCUGAGGAUGACAUGAGGACUUUUCAUAUGCACAGUCUGAGUUCUGACAGUGAAGAUGAAACUGUUCAUCAAGUACCUGAGAUAGUUACAGACAGGGAUGAUGGAAAGCAUUUGAGAAGCUUGUUGAAACUUCCAAAACCUCUGAAUGAAAGGCAACAUGAGCUUUGGAAAGAUGAGAAAAAGGCUGUAACGUUCUUUGAUGAUGUGACAGUCUAUUUGUUUGAUCAGGAAACCCCCACCAAGGAGCUGGGAAGCCGUGGGGUGGACGUGAACGGGGAAGGCGCUGGCAGCUCUCCUGUCCCAUCCUCCAGUCUUGGCUACUUAAACAGAUUUGCAAAUUCAGAAAGCUCAACAGAUGAAGAAGGUGGGGGCUUUGAGUGGGAUGAUGACUUCUCCUCUCCAGAGCCAUCCUUUAUAUCCAAGGCAGCUAAUAGUCUUAUUGGUUCUAAAUCACCCCUUCAGCCAUCAAAGUACUUCUCUCCACCUCCACCUUCCAGGACUCUUGAUCAGAACUGGUCACAUUCAUCCCCUUAUUCCAGAUUCUCUAUCUCUCCUGCAAACAUGGCAAGCUUUUCUCUUACCCAUCUUACAGAUUCAGAUAUAGAGCAAGGAGGAAGCAGUGAAGAUGGAGAAAAAGAUUAAAUUAAUUUAAACUUCCUCGGACUACAUACAUAAAACACACAGACUUUGUGUCUGAGACUUCUUUAUGUAAACUCUGGAUCCUCCUGGAGUAACACAGAUGGCAGCAAAGGAUCAGGUCCACAGUGUAGUUCCAGUGUAAGAUAUAUUUAUUAGAGUCCGGAGGUUGAGAAAGUACCAAAAGUUCAAAGCCACAGUCCCAGCAGAUGAGUCUACACUAAAUAGUGUAGUUACCAUUAAUUUCUUCCAAUAUCAUCCUUGCGAGAACUUCAGAGUAGGGCUGUCCAAGGAGAAACAGUGGCUGAGGAAGGAUUUAUUGGAUCCAUGAAGGUUGUGCUGCUCUGUGCAGUUGGUGUGUUAUUUAUUUUGCUCCAGCACAGCACGAUGAUUUCAUUUGGACUAGAAGGGAGCUCAGACAGUAAUAAUCCAGGAAAGCUGUCAUAGACAGGAAUAAGGGCAAGAAUAUGAAGCUGACAGUAAGUUCAAAUCAUGUGUCAGAAGACAAGAGAUGUGUCCCCACCGCUCACCUGCUCAAUGGCCUGCUCGUAGUGCCUGAAAUUCUCCAGUUCCCGCUUUGUCCUUUCACUGAGCUGCUGGAAAAUCUGCUUCCUCCAGGCUGCUGUCUGAGCUGGGGUGAUGGACAGGGACAGGGACUGCACAGAGCAUGACAGACCUAGAGCAGAAGCAAACCCAGUAAACUCCAGGGAGCUUUGAACACAGUUUGUGAAAGGUAAAAUCUUUCCAAGCCAUAACCUGUCAAAAUGGGAAUUUUGUUGCUGAACUGCAAGAUAAUGAGGUGAUACAAUGCAUUUAGAGUUACAUUGUUACAUACUGGGAUGCCAUAGUUCACAGUUUAUUUUGAAAAUGUGGUUAUAUUUCACUGUCUGUCAAGAAUCUAAAUUCUAAUGCCACCCAAUUAUCAGCUGGGCUGACAUUCACAAUCCCUCUGUGUAACUUCUGUCUCAUAGUCCUGUCUCAGUAGGAAUGGCAGGAAUGACUUAUUGGCAUCUGCAUCUCUCAAGAGAGCCCUUUUCACUGCUUCCUGUUACUAUUCAGUGAUAUGAGUUUUUCCACAAGUUGCAGUUUCAGUACAAUUAAAAAUGAGAUGUAGAUCCAGCACAGAUUAUUUUACAAAAUUCUUAGGAAACUCAGAGCAAAUAUCACUUUUAAUUUAUAUAUCUCAAGCCCAAAGUGCUUUACAGCUAAUAGCUGCAGCACUGUGCUCAGACACAGAGGCUAUUACCAAACUGCAAUAAGAGUAAGUGGGUUAUCAGAAGUCUUUCACCAUGGCUUCAUUCCAAAACACCAAAACAGUAUUUGUCUUAAAGAGCUUAUUGAGCUGUGAUUGGGAACUAGGCUCUGCUGUGGUGACUGGGUAGUACCUGAUGGAGCAGUGAACCACUUCAGUGGGCUGUGCAGAUCUACCAGGCAGCCUCCCCCAGACACCCAGGCCCACAGUGGGUGCUCAUCAGCUCCGUACUGCUCCUCAGCUCCCGCCGGGAACACGCCCAGGGAGGACAGGCUGGAUGUGUCCCCAAAGCUGCUGACGGAGAUCACUGGGUGCUUCUGGGCCUCCUUCAAGUCAAUGUUUGUCCACUGCAGCUCUGCAGAAGGAUUUGGGCUCGCAGCAGAUUUAUGCAUUUCAAGAUCAGCUUUCUCAUGACUUGUUGAAGCAGCAGUGGCUUCUCCUUGAUCAGAGUCCAGAGGAUCUGCAGGGAGGUUUGCAGGUAUUUCUGCCUGGCUGCCUGUGCUGUUCCCACUGCUGCUGGAUGCAGCUCCCAUGGGGACAGUGCUGGUGGGGUUCAUGGGCACGCUGGGAAGCUCUGUGUCAGAGGAAGUGUCUGCAUCACCCUGAAUGAUGGCAUUUGUUUGGGUCUGAAUAUCAUCAGUAAAGAAACAGCCAGCACUGAAGGACAAAUAGACAAUUAAUUAACUAUCAUCCAAAGCAUUAAUUACCACAGGCCUUAGACCAUAAACACACAGAGAAACAGCAGACUUCUUUUUUUCUAUCAGGGGAAAGAGUCCACCACAAAUCUGGCAGAGCAGUCUAGUAAAUCUGAACCACAGGAAGGAAUCUCAUUGAUCUUUUCAAACAGUCGGUGGUGUUGGCUGCCCACAACUCUGAGGAAAACAUUGAAGCAACAUCACGUUUUCUGAAUAUGAAAUAACAGAUAGGAUUUUUCAAAGCUCACUAUUAACUUUAUAAUUUGUCUUAGCUAGAGAGGUCUUCUCAGCACACACUCUGACUCAAACAAGUAGCUUCUGCAGCACUCCCAGAUCCAUUGGCAUGUCUGGCACAGCCCAUAGGCCAGCAUGGAGUAGCUGAUUUAACCUCUCAAGGAAAAGGAAUGUACAGUGACACUCAGGAAGGGUAAUUCCUGAGUAAAGUUGACACUCCUUCAUAUUUCACAGACAACAUUUCCUCUUAUUAGAGACUGGUUCCAGAUAGUGGUAGUAAAGCCCAGAGGAACAUGCUUUACUGCAAACAUGCACUGAAUUCCUGUGUGGGAGCUUCAGUUUCUACUCUGAAUCCAACAACUGCUGCUUACUGGUAAUUUUAAUGGGAAAAAAUGCAAAUGCCUUUUGGCAUACAUAAUGAUUGGAGAUGCCUUCCCCACUCCUCCCUGUCUGUAUGUAUGUAAAGAAAUGUAAAGAAAUAUCUCUUGAUGUAAAGAAUGUAAAGAAAUAUCUCCUAGCAUUGAAACUCUGGGUGUACAAAGUCUUGGGCAGGCAUUUCACGUGGUACCUGAGCAGACUUGUUGAGCUCCCGGUCUGAGAUCUGUCGCUCUCUCGGCCAGACACAAUUGCCUUCCAUGUCUUCCCACUGAGCUCACUUGGUGUGACACCUUGACGAAAAUAAAUGGCUCUGUCAUCACAGCCAAUUCCCCAGACCUAGGGAAGGAAAGGGCUUGGUGAGGGAAAUGGCUUGGAAUGCAGUAGAUACCAGUUACAAAAAAGGUGCAGUGGUGCAGAAUUCAGCCCAAAAAAGCUGCUGGAUGCAGCAUUUUCCUUUUGUGUUCUUCCUUAAUGCUGAUACUGUAGAUGCAGUACAAAAUUCUGUACCAUCAAGAGAGAACCGUGUGCACCUCCCUGUGCCAUUCAAGACACAUGCUGUUAUCUCCUGGUGCAGAAUUCAGCCACACUUUCCUCUCUAGCAGUUCAAGCCCGUGGACCUCUUGUUCAGCCAGCCCUACUGGCACUGCUGACAGUCCUUGCCACUUGUGAACAGUGCUUGUACAAAGGGGAAAGUAAAUAUCCCCACAGCUGGUAUGCAGCUCUCUUACCUGGUUAUUUAAGCCUACAGUUACCAUCAUCAUUUCUCCAACCAUUUCAAUCCAGCUUGUCCCACAAGGAUUAUGUGAGUUCACUCCUCUUCUAAACCACACCUACAACAAAAACAGCAGAAAAGCCUAAAUUUUGUUCCUUCUGCAUUAGCAGGCAGAUAGCUGGAAUUUAGUUUCUUGAGUGGAUUAAUCUCUAAUACUGACUUGCUGCAUUGUCUUUAAAAUUCAAUUACUUCCUUGAUUCUUUUUCUUUAUCAGAUAAAGAUAAAGCAAUUCUCUUAAUAGUACCCACACUGUGUGUCCAACUACAGCCAGAAGAGCCCACUGGAAGAUUUUUUGGUAUGACUUUCUGUGACAGAGUUAGUUUCUCUGCUUUCUAUUACAUAUCAACUGUAGGCUAUUUUUGAUCAUUCUGAAUGGCCUUCAGUGCUCCUGUGUUCAAACUCUAGAAGCAGAGCUGACAGAGGGAACUGUCAGAGGGAUCUUCUUAGUGGUACAGCUCUUUAAAUUAUCUUCCCUUAGAUCAGGUUUUACCAAUCUGAGAGUAUCUGUGGGUUGGGUACCUGAAAAAAUUUCCCUCUAUAUGACAGUCAUAUAGUGACAAUCAACUCCUUUAGAAGUUGUUGGUUGAAUACAAUAACAUCAGUAUACUUGAUUGUCCUUUGGCAGAUCUGGAGGAAAACACAGCAGCUUAUCUCCAUUUAUGACAGUGGAUUUCUGUGGCAGAUGGAGCAGGCUGGGCACAGUCUGUUGCCAUGGCUCAGCUGACAAGUAGUGACUCAUUAAACCAGAGAAACUCAACACAACUGCGACACAUGCACAGAGUUCAUGCAUGGUUUUGAAUUCAGGAAGAAAGGAUUUGAUUGCAACCAGCACAAGAGCACUCUAAUACUGGAGUGUUCCAGUAUUCUUCACAACUUCCAUGAUUCCCUGCAAGGGGCAGGGACUUGGAUUUGAUGAUACCUACAGGUCCUUUCCAAGCUGAGACUUUCUACAAUUCUAAGUUAAAAGCCCAAGAGGAAAGUAGUCACACAUCCACAUAAAAGACACCUCACCUAACAAAUACAAAAACCCCCUAUGUUAAAAGGCUGAUCAAGAGAGGACAGUCGCAGUAGGAAGAUAAAAAAAUAGCAUCAUGCAGGAAAGAGUAAAUAACAAUAUUCCCCAUGUUGCUUUUGAUGUAAUCUUCAAGCCAUGUGGAAACAAGAUUUAGCAGCAGGAGUCCCUUCCAUUUCAAUGCUUAAAAUCCCCUAAAAGUAGACUCCUUAUUACAUCCCCACCAACAUCCCUGCCCACCUGCCACAUCUGUCUGACCUGGGUCUAGAAAAUUCCUUCUAGGAGAAAACAGAAAUUCUUCCUUAUAUUACACUCAAUACAUCCAUCAUGAACCACAGAGCAUUCCCAUAACAUAGCAAGGGGAACUAGAAUUCCCCAAACCAUGAGGAUAGAGAGUUUAAAUCCCCAACACUUCCUGUGCAAGGACUCCUGUUUGAGAAAAGCAGACAGGAAAAGGGAAGAAAAAAGCAGAAGCAGAUCAUGAUCCCUCUUACUUUUCUAUCCUUUGUAACACACCACACCACAUCAACACCCACAGAGACGUGCAUAAUCCCAUUUUCAGAGCUUGGAGACUCCACAAUACUCCAGGACAGUCCUGCAUGAAACAAAACCCAGAAGGCAUUGUAGGUUAGUUUCUUAUUCACCACUAUAAAAAGCAAAGGGGUUUCCAGCUAAAUUUAACAAACUUUACCUUGAGGGUUAUUCCUAUCAAUUCCUUCUCUCACAAUAGCUUGCCCUUCCCAAAGAGUUGCCCAAAGGAGGUCAUAGGGUCCACAGCUGAUCUGUACAACUUCACCAGGAGUGGUGAUUAAGGACCACGUGGAACCUUCUGGAUUGUGGUGGCAGACAUUUUCUCUGUACCAUACCUAGACAAGUUUAAAAAAACCAGAGAUGAAUAAACCCAGGAAAAAUAUCACUAUAACAAUGAAACCAUUGAGAGAAGCAUAAAGACAAACUGGAAAGAACAGUCCUCCUUUAACAACGGGAUGUUUUUACGUAGUGCAUGGCACUCUGACCUUUAAAGGUACUUUCUUAUGUUGAUUAUGCAGUUGAAGCAAUUUCCUUAUGUACUAAGGGAGGAGGCUGUUCUACAGAGCUGCUUUUAUCAUAGAAUCGAAUCUGGAUUGGGUACAGAAACCUAUUGCUACAAGUCCUGUGUAUAUUUUAACAUUUAAACCACUUCAGUGUAUUGCAGGGCAUGUUAUAUAAACCAAGAAUGAACAAAUACAUAACACAAAAAUGUUUCUGUUGGCUGACAGCAUGACCUCACUUUCACUGAACAGAACUUGCCACAAUAUGGGGAAAAAUUUUCAUUCUCUGUGCAGCCUUCAGUGACAUCCAGCCUUUUGCUAGUCUUGGACUGUGCACUUCUCUAUAGAUCACAGUCAAAAUAGGAAGGUCAAGCACAGAAAACAUCCUGUGGUAGUGACAUGAGCACUCCACAACAUGACUGCUGAGUAUUAAAUCCUCAUUUUUAGAAAUACUUUAUUUCUCUGGUGACUGUUACUUGGGAAAUUAAAGCAUUUUACAAUGGCAGUCAAGUGAGCCUGUAGACUGGGAUGCUUGUCACGUACUGCUGGAAAGUAUGAGGCAUAGGGAAUUUUAUUUUAAACAAUUUAACCAAGAUUGCUUGCCUCUCCAGGCAGUGCCAAGUGUGACUGAAAGCUCAGGCAAUCUGUUAAAAAUAUUACAAACUGCCCUGUGAAACCACAAAUUAGAAAAUGUCUAGAGACAAAGCAAUGUUGGAUACAUGCUCUAAGGAUGAAGGAAGGAAAGCAAGAGUCAAAUCUUUACAGCACUGAGCAAAAGAGGAGAGACAUCUUAUGGUAGGCCUAAAAACAACAACAACAACAAAGAAAUAUCUAUAGUUUUCAAUAGAAAACAAACUGAAAACAUUUCAGAGUUGGGUACCACAUUGCCAAGCCAGGAGGGAACCACUUUCUGAUUAAUAAGUCUCAGAAAACAAUUUUGUAAACUCCUGAAUCAUUUCUGUGUCUCCACCACAGAGGCACAGCACAGUGCUUUGCAAGAAUCUCUAUCAGGUUUUGAGGCUCCUUUUCUUGGUUACCGGUGUCACAGUCAGCACUCUGGGCAGUUUUUCAGGAUAUAAGACAUUACUCACUCCAAGUUUUAAGAUUCACCUGUUCAUAGAGGUUUAAGGCUUCCAUAAAACAGCAACUCUAUGAGAUACUUAAGCCUUUCCAUUUACAACACAAGUUGUUACAUAAUGUAGCCCCAAAGCAGCUUUUCAUCCUCUGCCAGAUGCACGAACGGCGUAUUUCAUUACCAACAUAAUAACAAACUUGCCUUCCUUUAAAAGUAUUUAACUCCUUUCCAUUAGUAAUUUGUGUCAGAAACACAGGGAACACACACAUACCCUUCCUUGUAAAGAAACUGCCCACACUGACAAGCGGCCGAGAGGCUCGUCGGUGAUUUCCCACCCUCCGAUGGAGAUGUCAUUGAAAGGGUCUGGCAGCUGCUCCGGAUCAUCAUGUGACACGAUCUGAAGCAAAGGGAAGGAAGAUUGAGAAGAGGAGACACUGUACUGGUGGCCUAACUUUUGUCUUGCAGAUUGGUUAACGUAUCACUUCCUAAAGUGGCUGAGCAUGGAGAUUCUCCCUCUCGUUCAAGGCUGUUACAAGCAGAGAGAGGGGAAACGCUGCUGGAGCAGCACGAAGAAGGCUGUGUUUUGUACCCUACCUAAAGGAAAUUUUUCCAGUGUAUACAGAAUUGGAAAGCUGAAACAUCACAAAUUACAAUUUUUGUAUGUUCUUAGAAUGGAACAAAAAUUAUUAAUGAACAGUUAUUCAUACAGACAAAGGACAGAGCUGGUGAAAGAUGCCAGGCAGAUGGCACCUCAAAUGAGAGUGCCAGGCAGAUGGCACCUCAAAUGAGAGUGCUUUGUCAAGCAACCAAAGGAAGUUAAAAAGCUGGUCUGAAAUUUGCAGUGGAGCUGAGCAUCCAUCUCCAAUUGCAUCACCAUGAGAUUUGGCACCUUAUUACCACAGGUAAUAAUCCCAGCCUUCCAUUUAUGCUUACAAGAAUAGCAAGCUGGAAGUCAAGGAAUCCAGGUCCAGCCUACAGACAAGUAAUAAAAAAUCAAUUUCCCCGCUCUUAUAAUUGAUUAUUUCAGAAAAACGGUUUAUUUAGUAUUUAAAAGGUCUCCAGAACCUUUGCCCAAACGUCCCGUGAUUUGUAUCUCCUGUAUCUGAUCCACCGCCUGCGCCGGACACAGGAAUUCCAUUUCUUAUCCUUUGUGUAGGUGCUGGGGAAGUCUAUGGCGUAAGUCCAGCCCUGCAAACAGAGGUUUUCUUGUAUGAAAUAUGGGAUCAAGGGAAAGCUUGAAAUCAUAACUCAGAGCAAUUCUGCACGAGGGUCACAGUACAAGUUACUGUGUGUGUCUCAAGAGCCCUGGUUAACAGAUCAGCUAAUUCCAUGGAUGAUUUAUGAAUCAUCCCAAAUUCCUCUGCAUGAUGCACACAGAACAAACAAGACACAGUAAAACAUUUUGCUUGCUUUGUAGUAAAGAUCUUAAAUAACAAUGGCAUUCAGUUGCCAGCAUUUCGUGGCCUGAUCAAAAGAGAAAAGCUUCUAGGGAAGUUCCUAUGGACUUCAAAAGCCUUCAAACAAGACCAUUCCUUGUGUUGUAUUAGAGUUGAGCUAUUUCCCAGGAAGAUGUAUCUCUGGGAAGUUUUAUUUUUACAGACCUUUUACACUUCUAUAAAAGUGCCUUUUAUUUUACAGACUAAGGAUUCCCAGAAUAGAUCUCUUUUUGGUAUUGUUCACCUACCCCUUUCUCUGUUGGUUCCCCUCCAAUAUUUUCAUCCACAUACCAGUCAGACUCCCACUCCCAGUGUGGAGAAGGCAGUGUGAAACUAUCGAGCUGCUGAUGUUUUAGCCCGCUCACAUCACUCCACUGCCAGCGGUCACUGGGCAGUAAUUUCUCACAAAAGCCACCAACUGGAUUCCAGCGCUGCCAGAAAUAAUAAAUAAAGGAUUUUAUUGGAGAUCACAUCAUCUCAUAUUGGACAUCUACAGGGAGUCAUAAAAGACACAUUUCUUAUUUUCUGCAGUAGAAGAGGAAUAAAUUCCUGGGGUCCAUGAGAAAGUGUUCCCUCUGUGAGCCCCUCCCUAACACUGUUUUUAGGAAGAGACUUUGAGACUUUGUUUAAGUCUCAAAGCAGGGCUGACUACAGAGCUGGUCCCAACCAAGUCCUCUUUGGCUACACAAAUAGGAGCAUCUCAUGAUAUAUAUUACUCCUAACAGUGCUUUUUUCUUUGGUGAUGUAUGGCACCAUGACACUCCUGCAUUAGAUGGCCUUGGGAUUUCUAAUCUACACUCUGGACAAAGAUGAUUAAUAUCUUGUCUGCACUAGAAAAGUAGCACUGCCUCUGCACCAGAAACUGUGUCAAAAUAACUAUAUGAGCAAAUCUCCCCUGUAUCUUAUGUUAAACUAGAGGGUUCUUUCCCCCUAAUCUGGCUUGAAUCAAUAGCAGUACAAAUAACACAAGGAUUUUCACCAAUACAGCUGUCAUUUUUAUUUUUCUCCCCACACUCCUACAUACUAUAGAAAUACUGGCAAAAUCUGUCAUUUAAUAUUGUCUUACAUUUUAGAGCACAUGGAAAAUGAGUGGCUCAAAAUCCUUCUAUAAUUUUUACACAAAAUAUUAUUUACUUUUACUAGGAAUAUGGCUAAGUUGCUUUGCACGUUAUCUGUAAACUACUUGAGUUUAAUUUUGUCCUUGUUAGCUCUUGUAGAAUGUUUCCUUUUGUGCUUUCUAGUAUUUUGUUUUCCAUUUUUCAUAGCCUAGAACAAACAAAACAAAAGUUUUAAAAUAACAAAUAAAAUUUUAAGUUUUGCUUUUUUAAAGAACAUGUUUACACAACAAAAGGAACCGUCUUAAAUGGCUGAAAAGUUGUAUCAAUAUUAAAUAAUGUAUAAAAUUAAUUUGCUGUAUUUUUACCCAUGCAGAUAAGUUAGUGUCUUUUCUCAAUUUCUAUUUAUCCCAUUGUCCAUUAGAAAUCAGAGAAAUGUGCUCAAGAGAGAAAAUGUGCUCAAGAAAAUGUGCUUGGUUUCUCUCUCAACCUUUAGUUAACUUAAAAGAAAUUGAUAAAUUUCCUUUAAAUACUGUUUUAAAGACAUUACUUUGAAGUACACCAUACAGGGAGGAUCAUCUUAACACUUCUAUGCAAAGAAGCUGGAAAUGUACUUCAGUGGAAAGUCAUGCCUUUAUUAGAGAAGUGUUUGAAACACUAAACCCCAGCAUUUUCUUAAGACUGAUAUAAGAUAUUGUAUCUUUGAUAAAUAAAAAGACAAUGUAUCUUUGCUGCCUGGAA